ACUAUCCUUAUCUUGGGGUUGCGCUACUGUUCAAUGAACGUCUGGUGAGGACAGUACUGCUAACACCUACACAACACUUUAGCAUCCUUGGGGUUUAUUCCCCACGUGAGGUGCAAUUUUUGGAACC
rnacentral:ncRNA from 1 species